GAUGAAGAACGCAGCGAAAUGCGAUACGUAAUGUGAAUUGCAGAAUUCAGUGAAUCAUCGAGUCUUUGAACGCACAUUGCGCCCUCUGGUAUUCCGGAGGGCAUGCCUGUCCGAGCGUCAUUGCUGCCCUCAAGCACGGCUUGUGUGUUGGGCCCCGUCCUCCUUCCGGGGGACGGGUCCGAAAGGCAGCGGCGGCACCGCGUCCGGUCCUCAAGCGUAUGGGGCUUUGUCACUCGCUUUGUAGGCCUGGCCGGCGCUUGCCGAUCAACCAAACUUUUUAUCAGGUUGACCUCGGAUCAGGUAGGGAUGCCCGCUGAACUUAAGCAUAUCAAUAAGCGGAGGA
rnacentral:misc_RNA from 1 species